UGCCUAAUACAUGCAAGUCGAACGCGUUGGCCCAAUUGAUUGAUGGUGCUUGCACCUGAUUGAUUUUGGUCGCCAACGAGUGGCGGACGGGUGAGUAACACGUAGGUAACCUGCCCAGAAGCGGGGGACAACAUUUGGAAACAGAUGCUAAUACCGCAUAACAACGUUGUUCGCAUGAACAACGCUUAAAAGAUGGCUUCUCGCUAUCACUUCUGGAUGGACCUGCGGUGCAUUAGCUUGUUGGUGGGGUAACGGCCUACCAAGGCGAUGAUGCAUAGCCGAGUUGAGAGACUGAUCGGCCACAAUGGGACUGAGACACGGCCCAUACUCCUACGGGAGGCAGCAGUAGGGAAUCUUCCACAAUGGGCGCAAGCCUGAUGGAGCAACACCGCGUGAGUGAAGAAGGGUUUCGGCUCGUAAAGCUCUGUUGUUAAAGAAGAACACGUAUGAGAGUAACUGUUCAUACGUUGACGGUAUUUAACCAGAAAGUCACGGCUAACUACGUGCCAGCAGCCGCGGUAAUACGUAGGUGGCAAGCGUUAUCCGGAUUUAUUGGGCGUAAAGAGAGUGCAGGCGGUUUUCUAAGUCUGAUGUGAAAGCCUUCGGCUUAACCGGAGAAGUGCAUCGGAAACUGGGAUAACUUGGAGUGC
rnacentral:rRNA from 2 species